CCUACGGGUGGCUGCAGUGAGGAAUAUUGGUCAAUGGGCGUAAGCCUGAACCAGCCAAGUCGCGUGAGGGAUGAAGGUUCUAUGGAUCGUAAACCUUUUUUAUAAGGGAAUAAAGUGCGGGACGUGUCCCGCUUUGUAUGUACCUUAUGAAUAAGGAUCGGCUAACUUCGUGCCAGCAGCCGCGGUAAUACGGAGGAUCCGAGCGUUAUCCGGAUUUAUUGGGUUUAAAGGGUGCGUAGACGGCAUUUUAAGUCAGUGGUGAAAGUCUGUGGCUCAACCAUAGAAUUGCCGUUGAAACUGGGAUGCUUGAGUAUGUUAGAGGCAGGCGGAAUGCGUGGUGUAGCGGUGAAAUGCUUAGAUAUCACGCAGAACCCCGAUUGCGAAGGCAGCCUGCCGGGCCAUGACUGACGCUGAUGCACGAAAGCGUGGGGAUCAAACAGGAUUAGAUACCCGUGUAGUC
rnacentral:rRNA from 1 species